UGGAAAACAGUAUGAAGAUUCCUUAGAGAACUAAAAGUAGAUCUACCAUUCAAUUUAGCAACCCCAGUACUUGGUAUCUACCUAGAGGAAAAGAAAUUAUUAUA